rnacentral:rRNA from 1 species
ACACAUGCAAGUCGAGGGGAAACGGCAUCAAGCGCUUGCGCCUGAUGGACGUCGACCGGCGCACGGGUGAGUAACGCGUAUCCAACCUGCCCCACACUAAGGGAUAACCCGCAGAAAUGUGGACUAAUACCUUAUAUUUUCCACCAAGGGCACCGUCGAUGGAACAAAGAUUUAUCGGUAUGGGAUGGGGAUGCGUCCGAUUAGGUUGUUGGCGGGGUAACGGCCCACCAAGCCUUCGAUCGGUAGGGGUUCUGAGAGGAAGGUCCCCCACAUAGGAACUGAGACACGGUCCUAACUCCUACGGGAGGCAGCAGUGAGGAAUAUUGGUCAAUGGGCGAUAGCCUGAACCAGCCAAGUAGCGUGCAGGAAGACGGCCCUAUGGGUUGUAAACUGCUUUUAUGCGGGGAUAAAGGAGUCCACGUGUGGAUUUUUGCAGGUACCGCAUGAAUAAGGACCGGCUAAUUCCGUGCCAGCAGCCGCGGUAAUACGGAAGGUCCGGGCGUUAUCCGGAUUUAUUGGGUUUAAAGGGAGCGUAGGCCGCGUUUUAAGCGUGUUGUGAAAUGUAGACGCCCAACGUCUGCAUCGCAGCGCGAACUGGGACGCUUGAGUACGCGCAACGUUGGCGGAAUUCGUCGUGUAGCGGUGAAAUGCUUAGAUAUGACGAGGAACUCCGAUUGCGAAGGCAGCUGACGGGAGCGGCACUGACGCUUAAGCUCGAAGGUGCGGGUAUCAAACAGGAUUAGAUACCCUGGUAGUCCGCACAGUAAACGAUGG